AAUUCCAGCUCCAAUAGUGUAUAUUAGAGUUGUUGCAGUUAAAAAGCUCGUAGUUGGAUUUCUGCUGUGGUCAUCCGGUACCGCCCGUACGGGUGCGCACCUGGUUUGGCUGCGGCUUUCUUCCUGUAGCCGUCCGCGCUUAAUUGCGUGUGUUGUGUUGCGGAACUUUUACUUUGAGAAAAAUAGAGUGUUUCAAGCAGGCUUGUCGCCCUGAAUACUUCAGCAUGGAAUAAUAGGAUAGGACCUUGGUUCUAUUUUGUUGGUUUCUAGGACCAAGGUAAUGAUUAAUAGGGACAGUUGGGGGCAUUCGUAUUUAACUGUCAGAGGUGAAAUUCUUAGAUUUGUUAAAGACGAACUACUGCGAAAGCAUUUGCCAAGGAUGUUUUCAUUAAUCAAGAACGACAGUAGGGGGUUUGAAGACGAUUAGAUACCGUCGUAAUCUCUACCAUAAACUAUGCCGACUAGAGAUAGGGAAACGCCUACCUUGGCUUCUCCUG
rnacentral:rRNA from 1 species